UCCAGUGGGCCUGGUUUCUGCAGAAU
rnacentral:piRNA from 1 species